rnacentral:rRNA from 1 species
GAUGAACGCUAGCGGCAGGCUUAACACAUGCAAGUCGAGGGGCAGCAUGAGACGGAGAUUCGUCAAAGUCUUGAUGGCAACCGGCGCAAGGGUGCGUAACGCGUGAGCAACUUGCCCGUAUCAGGGGGAUAACCGGUGGAAACGCCGACUAAUACCGCAUAGAAUCACUUUAAGGCAUCUUUUAGUGAUUAAAGAAGUUCGGAAACGGAUAGGCUCGCGUGACAUUAGCUAGAUGGCGGGGUAACGGCCCACCAUGGCGACGAUGUCGAGGGGUUCUGAGAGGAAGGUCCCCCACACUGGAACUGAGACACGGUCCAGACUCCUACGGGAGGCAGCAGUGAGGAAUAUUGGUCAAUGGUCUGACGACUGAACCAGCCAUGCCGCGUGAAGGUGACGGCCCUAUGGGUCUUAAACUUCUUUUGUAAGGGAGCAAUAAGAGCUACGUGUAGUUCGAUGAGAGUACCUUACGAAUAAGCAUCGGCUAACUCCGUGCCAGCAGCCGCGGUAACAC